rnacentral:rRNA from 1 species
GUCCUAGCCGUAAACGAUGGAUACUAGGUGUGGGAGGUAUCGACCCCUUCCGUGCCGGAGUUAACGCAAUAAGUAUCCCGCCUGGGGAGUACGGCCGCAAGGUUGAAACUCAAAGGAAUUGACGGGGCCCGCACAAGCGGUGGAGUAUGUGGUUUAAUUCGACGCAACGCGAAGAACCUUACCAAGACUUGACAUUGAUUGAAAGACUUAGAGAUAAGUCCCUUCUCUUCGGAGAACAAGAAAACAGGUGGUGCAUGGCUGUCGU